rnacentral:misc_RNA from 1 species
AUAUAAAGCUCCUUAUAAUUUUCACUUAUCCUCCUCUUCUUCUCUCUGUUAUACUAUAUAAAAAUCUAUAGAUACACCUAUAGAUACAUAUAUUUUCUCUAUUCAUCGUAGCCAUGGCAGUUAACGGUGCUUCUUCUUCUGGUUUGAUCGUCAGUUUCGGUGAGAUGUUGAUCGAUUUCGUUCCGACAGUCUCCGGCGUAUCCCUUGCCGAGGCUCCCGGAUUUUUGAAAGCUCCCGGCGGUGCACCGGCGAACGUCGCUAUCGCGGUGACGAGGCUCGGAGGGAAGUCGGCGUUCGUCGGGAAACUCGGCGACGAUGAGUUCGGUCACAUGCUCGCCGGGAUUCUGAAAACGAACGGCGUACAAGCCGAAGGAAUUAAUUUUGACAAGGGCGCCAGGACGGCUUUGGCGUUCGUGACGCUACGCGCCGACGGAGAGCGUGAGUUUAUGUUUUACAGAAAUCCCAGUGCCGAUAUGUUGCUCACGCCCGCUGAGUUGAAUCUUGAUCUUAUUAGAUCUGCUAAGGUGUUCCACUAUGGAUCAAUUAGUUUGAUCGUGGAGCCAUGUAGAGCAGCACAUAUGAAGGCAAUGGAAGUAGCAAAGGAGGCAGGGGCAUUGCUCUCUUAUGACCCAAACCUUCGUUUGCCGUUGUGGCCUUCAGCAGAAGAGGCCAAGAAGCAAAUCAAGAGCAUAUGGGACUCUGCUGAUGUGAUCAAGGUCAGCGAUGUGGAGCUCGAAUUCCUCACUGGAAGCAACAAGAUUGAUGAUGAAUCCGCCAUGUCCUUGUGGCAUCCUAACUUGAAGCUACUCUUGGUCACUCUUGGUGAAAAGGGUUGCAAUUACUACACCAAGAAAUUCCAUGGAACCGUUGGAGGAUUCCAUGUGAAGACUGUUGACACCACUGGAGCUGGUGAUUCUUUUGUUGGUGCCCUUCUAACCAAGAUUGUUGAUGAUCAAACCAUUCUCGAGGAUGAAGCAAGGUUGAAGGAAGUACUUAGGUUUUCAUGUGCAUGUGGAGCCAUCACUACAACCAAGAAAGGAGCAAUCCCAGCUUUGCCUACUGCAUCUGAAGCCCUCACUUUGCUUAAGGGAGGAGCAUAGAAACAUCGUGUUAUCUUUUUUCUUUUUUCCAUCUUCAUAUAUUUCCCCCCCUUUAUGAGUUUUUUUUUAAACUUUGAAGCUAGUAGGAAGCCUUUUCAGUUUUGGAUUUUAAUGUUUUGUUGUGAUGAAUGUCCAUCAAGGCACUUAAUAAACUAAGCUUUCUUCAUAUGCAGCUUCCUUGUAACUUCUCCUUUACAUCAUCAUACUAGUAUUUCAUUAUCCAAUUCUAUA